GGAUGGAAGGGCGAUCUGGCUGCCACAUCUGUCACCCAUUGAUUUUCCAGUUGAUUUUGCCAUGACUUGGUAGGUGGGGUCUCCUUUCUUUCUCCAUCUGCAUCUCUCCCAAACCUCAAUCAAAAAGAAUGCCCUUAUAAGGAGCAGAAAUCAUCUUUAGUCAUGUUGUUGAAUUCUAUGUGUAUAAUUUCAAAACUAGCUCUGCUUGUAGAGAGUAGAUAAUU
rnacentral:lncRNA from 10 species